rnacentral:rRNA from 1 species
AUUGAACGCUGGCGGCAUGCUUUACACAUGCAAGUCGAACGGUAACAGGCCGCAAGGUGCUGACGAGUGGCGAACGGGUGAGUAAUGCAUCGGAACGUGCCCAGUCGUGGGGGAUAACGCAGCGAAAGCUGGGCUAAUACCGCAUACGAUCUGUGGAUGAAAGCGGGGGACCGAAAGGCCUCGCGCGAUUGGAGCGGCCGAUGUCAGAUUAGGUAGUUGGGGGGGUAAAGGCCCACCAAGCCAACGAUCUGUAGCUGGUCUGAGAGGACGACCAGCCACACUGGGACUGAGACACGGCCCAGACUCCUACGGGAGGCAGCAGUGGGGAAUUUUGGACAAUGGGCGCAAGCCUGAUCCAGCAAUGCCGCGUGCAGGAAGAAGGCCUUCGGGUUGUAAACUACUUUUGUACGGAACGAAACGGCUCUGGUUAAUACCUGGGGCUAAUGACGGUACCGUAGAAUAAGCACCGGCUAACUACGUGCCAGCAGCCGCAGUAAGAC